UCUGAGUACUCAUAAUGCAGUUAAGGGAUGAGUCAGGGAUGUUUCAGAUAAAUGCUUCUAGUUUUAACCCAUAUGGAGAAUAUAUAGCCAAACAUUUGGCCAAAUUUGCUACUGGUGUAACUAGGUAUAACUUUUCUGAUGUCAACAGAUUGUGUUCCUUAUGCCAGUAGUGAAUGUGGCCCAUUGUAUAUUUAUUAUAUGCCAAGCUUGGCAAAACCCAGAAAUAUUUAUCUGAAUCUAGCACAUAGAUUGAAUCCAAAGCUUGCAAGGUUCAGAAGCCUGAAUAGAGAGUGUCUAUAUAGGUAUUCAGUUCAGUGUGUGACUACAUACUGAUUAACGACCCAGUUCAGCAAAGCACUUAAAUACAUACUUACCAUUAGCCACAAGCCUAAGUCUUGGUCACUUCAACAGGAUUUAAGAAUGCAGAUGAAGUUAAGCUGGACCUUAAGUGUUUUGCUGAACAGGGAUAUGUUGCGGAAUUGUGACCGGAGGGAAAAUGUGUCUGUAUAAACACGUGUAUAUUUUUGCUGUAUGAAUUUUAACUUUUGCAUCUUCAUGCAUAUGAAUGAAUAACUUUUGUACUUAACUUAAAUAUUUCAAAAUUAGUGAUUUUUUACUUGGAACCAAAUCCUAAUCCUUCUGCAGGAGCAAAGGUCUCAUGAGCCCACCUGAUUUAUCCUGAAAAUUAAUAUGUGACAAGUCCACUGCAACUCUGUGGUUGAAAUCUGUGAGCUGCUCGGGUAUACAUAUGACUUCCCCUUUGCCAUAAACCUGGCUUGUAUGGAUCUUAUCUUCCCUCAUUUAAUAUAGCCCUGUUGCCUGCAGUUGCCUAACCUGUUUGGAGUUACUCCAGGAAGUAAGCAGAUAAAUGGACAAUGAAUGAUUCCAUGUGAAUAGAAGAUCUGGAGAUGGUCAUGGAGCAUAUGGCAUGUCCCCUGAUUGUCUAUGAUGCCAUGUGCUCCUCAUCCUGGCUGAUUGUUCUCUUUGUGCUAUAUAUUGUAUUGGAACUAGAUUGUAAGCUCCUUGCAACAAGAACAUUGUUUUUGUACAUGAUCCCCAGAUGAUUUUCUUUUCGUCCUGGGCUGUCACCUUCUGAGAACCAUCUUCAUCUUUGAACGCCCAGGACCUAAUAGCCAAUGUUCCUUCAACUUCCUUAAGGACUCUGCAAAGUCAUUAUUUGACUUAUUUUUGUUUACAGUUAGAAUUUAUGAUAUACUAGUAUUUGUUACUCUAAGCACACUUCUAGUAUGGAUACUUUAUUAUUGAUGCAUAGUUAAUUUACCGCUUUGGGAACCAUGUAGUCUGUAAUUAUCUAAGCAUAUACAAUGAUAAUUUCAAUACUUCUUUGUGUAAGUAAUACAUUUGCAAAAUUAUGUGGAAACAUAGUAAAAAUUUCAUAUUGAUUUCA